GCAUCAGUACUGCCGAGUUGGUUAGGGCGUCGGCAGUACUGAUGCCGAACGCAGGUUCAAAUCCUGCCUGCGGUG